ACCUUUGCCCACCUGUCUGAGAGUGAUUGCAGUGAGUCUCACACAGGUUGGCGAAGGUUU
ensembl:miRNA